GCACAUUUCUUCUUUAGUCAUGGAACGGAUGUAUUCUUCAUCUGUUCCGCACGAUUGCGCCUGAUCUGUUCCUUUUUUCAUAGCAUCGGGGAGGAAUAUUUGUUUAUAAGCCAUUAGAAUUUGCAAUGCAAAUGACAAUGGAUCAAUAUUUUUUUUUGAUUCUUCAUUUU
rnacentral:ribozyme from 14 species